rnacentral:rRNA from 1 species
GACAGAGGGGGCAAGCGUUGCUCGGAAUUACUGGGCGUAAAGGGCGCGUAGGCGGGAUGGCAAGUCGGUCGUGAAAUCCCUCGGCUCAACCGAGGAACGUCGAUCGAUACUGCUGUUCUUGAGGAUUGCAGAGGAGACUGGAAUUCCCGGUGUAGCGGUGAAAUGUGUAGAGGAUCGGGAGGAACACCGGUGGCGAAGGCGGGUCUCUGGGCAAUUCCUGACGCUGAGGCGCGAAAGCGUGGGAGCAAACGGG